rnacentral:lncRNA from 10 species
GUCUGUUUGUAUUUCCUAGGGGUGAAUCGGCCUGGAAACUGUUCAUUCUCUCCCAAGCCUGAAAUGGCAGAUAAACAACUCCACGUCAUGCUGGGAACAGACAGCUUGGGAUCCCUGGCACGUGAGAAACAGAGCCUGGCAUAGAUCAGAGUUCUCCAUCCAGAGUGUCAGGACUUAGCCGCGUGCUUUCUCCAGCUGGGAAGAGGGAACUGAUACCGGAGGUCGGUAUUCUUAAGAUGACCACAGUGAGUAGCAUUGAAGAGCCAAUGUUCAAAUGAGUAGCAUUGAAGAGCCAAGAGCCAACGUUCAAAUGCUUCUCCCACAAGAGAUUUAGCAUUCUGCAGAGCUGGAUGAUUCUCAGAUCACCACUUAGCUUCCUGAAGCCAGCAACCUAUGUCAAAGAAGUUCCAACAAAUGCAAACCUAAAUAUGAUAAAUGGAAGGAGGAGAAUGUGUGGGCUCAAAGAACUCAGGCAGUAAUGAAAAACUGGGAGGAAGUGAAAUGAGGGGCGCCUGCUCCUCACUCCCCACCAUUCCCCCUAUUAUCUACUUCUGAGACUUCUUGGGCCUUGGAAAACAUAGGAAUCCCUUCCCUGCCUUUGCUGAGGAAACAAAAUGUGUCCAUUUUGACUGCAGCCCCGAGAAUACAUGUUUCUACUAUGACUAUCAAUGUUCCAGAUGGUGACUCACAUCAGCCUGGGCCUGAGGAUCAGGACAAGUUGGAGCAGAGCCCCAUCCACCUCUGGACGGGGAGUGCACGUAAGCAGUAAAGCUUUGCUGUUUUAAGUACUGAAAUUGGGGUAUCUUGCUCCUGCAGCAUGGCGUAUGAUAACACUUGGGGAUUGUCUCCUUUACAAAGUGAGUGAGGGCAUUCUCCUGUGAGAGCACAAGUGAGCAGAAUAUUUGCUGCCGGAAAACUAGGCCGAGAUAUCGUUCUUCUGUUUACCAAAUAGUCCCAGCUUCUCAGCUUUUACGCACUGCGCAGGAUUGCACAAUCAUUCUUUGAAGAUCAUGUGGCCGCGUAACUUGUCUUAUUCAGUGAGAUAUGAGUGAAGUGACAUCCAUCAGGCUGCUGUGGUCCAUUCCCACUACUCUGGAGACCCUGGAGGUGCUUAUUGGGAUGACGCCUCUGUCAGCCUAGAUCUUUGAGUGACGAUGACUACAGGACUGGUACCUGAUUGUCCAUUUCUGCAGCAUAAAAUUUAGUCUGUACAACACAACAAAGAGAGAUCUAAAGAAAAAAUGUUCUUUUUUUUUUUUUUUUUGGAGAUGGAGUCUCCCAGGCUGGAGUGCAUAUGAUCUCGACUCAAUGCAACCUCCGCCUCCUGAGUUUUCAAGCA